rnacentral:rRNA from 1 species
GCGAAGGCGACUUUCUGGUCUGUAACUGACGCUGAGGCGCGAAAGCGUGGGGAGCAAACAGGAUUAGAUACCCUGGUAGUCCAUGCCGUAAACGUUGGGCACUAGGUGUGGGGGACAUUCCACGUUUUCCGCGCCGUAGCUAACGCAUUAAGUGCCCCGCCUGGGGAGUACGGCCGCAAGGCUAAAACUCAAAGAAAUUGACGGGAGCCCGCACCGAAACAGUGCUUUACCCCUAAACUUCAUCUCGACCGCUGUGCCUCAACACAUUUCGGGGAGAACCAGCUAGCUCCGGGUUCGAUUGGCAUUUCACC